rnacentral:lncRNA from 1 species
UAGGAGAAAGAAUGGCAAACCACUUCAAUAUCCUUGCCAAGGUACCCCCAAAUGAUGUUGCAGAGAGUCAGAGAGGAUUGAAACAACUGAACAAUAGUAGGAAGGACCCUGGCUCUAUAAGCAGAUGACAUGGACUCAAAUGAUGCCACUGAUGCUUGGAUGCUUAAUGGUGUUCCAGGCUUGUGUUGGGGCUUCUGUGCUAGGAAAGAAGGGAAUUGUCUCUGCUGGUGAUCAUCAAUCUUGAGAGUUCAUUAAAUUCCAUCAGCAUGAGUUAACCACCUAUUAUGCACAAGGACAUUGAGCUGGGAACUAGAGAUUUAAAGACAAAAGAAUUAAGACAUCCCUGUCUUCAAGGAGCUUAUAUGCUUUUGGGGGAAAGAUGGGAAACAUACACACAGUGCUUCAUUUAUAUCAUGCCAUGCUGCUUCUGAAGAGUACAAUGGAAGAUUUCUGAAGAUGAGUCAAGAAAGGACAUAGUUAUAUUGAAGGCUUCCAGUAGCCUGCAGCAAGAAGGUAUGAUUUUAAAUCAUGUGUGUCCCUCAGGUGGUGAUUUUCAAGAAGGGACUGGAAUCUGUGGAUGAUUUUGACUAAUUCUUGGUGUGUCAGCUGAACUGAAAGGGGGAUAAGGUGGAGAUGGGUGAUUCAUUAGGUGAGAAAGCAUUUUAGAAACUUUAU